AUUUAUCAUAUUUAAAUCAGUCUUCUUAACCCUGAAAACUACAAAAUAUCUCAUUAGCCAUACCUGCCAUUCAUAUAAUCAUAUCCUUUUCAGUGACAUGUCUUAACUUUCCACUUUGAGAUAGAGAGCAUGACUGUCUACUAUAUUUUGUUGCCUCAAUCAAAUAGAUAAGAAGCUUUGUGCAUAUGGCCAACGACGCCUUCGGCAGGAGAGUCGCCAAACUUCUUGGCGAUGUCUUUCAUGUGUUGCUUUUAGUUCUUUUAAAGACUCCUCUGAGUGUUGUAUCUGACCGAGAACAAUUAUUUCGUGAUGAUUGGGGUAAUUGGGCUGCCCGGUGUAGGCAAGUCAACCAUCAUGAACGAGCUUUAUUAAUAUGAUGCAAGCUACCUGUGACAAAAACGAUUCCAAGAAACCACUUCUUGUCUUCCUCCACUGGCUGUCUGUCAUCUUGCUCUAAAACAAUCGCAGUCCUGCAAGUUGUUGCUGCUGCUCCUACCCCUGCCUCUGCAAUUGGGUUUGAGGGAUAUGAGAAGCGCCUCGAGAUCAGCUUCUAUGAGGCACCUGUCUUCGCUGACCCCAACGGAAGGGGAUUGUGUGCACUCUUGCGUCCCUAGAUUUACUCUAUUUCUGACCAUGCACGGUGCACCGUUGUCUCUGAGCUAUCAAACGAGGACUUUGACUCUUAUGUCUUAUCUGAGUCAAGCCUGUUUGUCUACCCAUACAAGAUUCUGAUCAAGACCUGUGGGACUACAAAGCUUCUGCUCGGUAUUCUGAGGAUCCUUGAGCUUGCUAAAGAGCUCUCAUUGCCACUUGUUGCAGCUAAAUACUCCCGUGGGACAUUCAUAUUCCCUGAUGCACAACCUUCCCCACACAAGAACUUUGAUGAUGAGGUUACCUUCCUAAAUCACUUCUUCGAUGGCCUCAGGUUUGGUGGUAAUGCUUAUGUGAUUGGUGAUUCUGCAAAGCAUAAGCAGAAGUGGCACGUCUACUAUGCCACCACUGAGCACCCCUAAGGAGCUUGUUGUUACUCUUGAGAUGUGCAUGACUAGGCUGGACAAGAAGAGAGCUUAUGUCUUCUUCAAGACCUCUAUUGAUGGUUACACAUCUUGUGCUAAGGAUAUGACCAAGCCUUCAGUGAUUGUCAUAGCCUUCUAUUUAUUAUUUCUUCUGAAUUCGAGUUUCAAGACAAAGAACAUAUUUAAGAA